rnacentral:rRNA from 1 species
UACAGAGGUCUCAAGCGUUUGUUCGGAUUCAUUGGGCGUAAAGGGUGUCGUAGGUGCGGCGCGUAAGUCGGGUGUGAAAUCUCGGAGCUUAACUCCGAAACUGCAUUCGAUACUGCCGUGCUUGAGGACUGGAGAGGAGACUGGAAUUUACGGUGUAGCGGUGAAAUGCGUAGAUAUCGUAAGGAAGACCAGUGGCGAAGGCGGGUCUCUGGACAGUUCCUGACACUGAGGCACGAAGGCCAGGGGAGCAAACGGG